CAUAGCACAACGAGGAGCAUCGUGGAACGGACAAUAGGCCAGCUCAAGCGGAGAUUUCAUUGCCUCCAUGCUGAGUUGAGGAUGCAGCCAGAGAGAUGCUGCGACAUCACUGUUGCCUGCUGUGUCCUGCACAACCUGGCCAAGACAUACCCCUGCAGCAUGCCAAGGACUGUCCUCCCCGAAGAGGUUCCCGUCGAGCCCGUGGCAGCGGGCCGUGAUGAAAGCAACGAGGCUCGGGAUGCCAUCGUCAGCCAGUUCUUCGGUUGAGCCAGGAGAUUAGCUCCCUCGAGCUGCUGCUGCCUUUCUGUCUCCUGCAAGAAGCGCUGUGAAGCCUCCCGGCACCAACGUCGGCUGUAUGGCACAUUUGUUGGAGCCCGCUGCACCGCCUCCAGCGGCCGACUCUCGUGCAGCACUGCCGCACUUGCUCCGCUCCCAGAGGGACCAGGCUGUGGAUCUAUUCCCCUGGAGCUGUCACUGCGACA